GUCGUAACAAGGUCUCCGUUGGUGAACCAGCGGAGGGAUCA
rnacentral:rRNA from 2 species